rnacentral:misc_RNA from 1 species
GAUGAAGAACGCAGCGAAAUGCGAUAAGUAAUGUGAAUUGCAGAAUCCAGUGAAUCAUCGAAUCUUUGAACGCACAUUGCGCCCGCCAGCAUUCUGGCGGGCAUGCCUGUUCGAGCGUCUUUUCAACCCUCGACCUCCCUUUGGGGAAGUCGGCGUUGGGGACCGGCAGCACACCGCCGGCCCUGAAAUGGAGUGGCGGCCCGUCCGCGGCGACCUCUGCGUAGUAAUCCAACUCGCACCGGAACCCCGACGCGGCCACGCCGUAAAACACCCAACUUCUGAACGUUGACCUCGAAUCAGGUAGGACUACCCGCUGAACUUAAGCAUAUCAAUAAGCGGAGGA